rnacentral:rRNA from 1 species
GAUGAACGCUAGCGAUAUGCUUAACACAUGCAAGUCGAGGGGCAGCAUGGUCUUAUCUUGCUUAGACUGAUGGCGACCGGCGCACGGGUGCGUAACGCGUAUGCAACUUGCCUCACAGAGGUGGAUAACCCGUCGAAAGACGGACUAAUACCGCGUACACUUGGCAUAGGGCAUCCUGACCCAAGGAAAUGUAAUUCGCUGUGAGAUAGGCAUGCGUCCCAUUAGCUAGUUGGUGAGGUAACGGCUCACCAAGGCGACGAUGUGUAUGGGAACUGAGAGGGUGCCACACUAGAACGGUACUGAGACCCGGACCAGAAUGCUACGCGAGGCAGCGGUGAGGAAUACUAGGCGAUGGGCGAGAGCGUGAAACAGCCAAGUCGGGUGAAGGAGGCCUGGCUUAUGGAUUGUCAGCUUCUUUGAAACAGGAAUUACAUAAGUAACGUGUGACUCCCUGACGGUACCGAAUGAAUAAGCAUCGGCUAACUACGUG